rnacentral:rRNA from 1 species
GUGGGGAAUAUUGGACAAUGGGCGAAAGCCUGAUCCAGCAAUGCCGCGUGAGUGAUGAAGGCCUUAGGGUUGUAAAGCUCUUUUACCAGGGAUGAUAAUGACAGUACCUGGAGAAUAAGCUCCGGCUAACUCCGUGCCAGCAGCCGCGGUAAUACGGAGGGAGCUAGCGUUGUUCGGAAUUACUGGGCGUAAAGCGCACGUAGGCGGCUACUCAAGUCAGAGGUGAAAGCCCGGGGCUCAACCCCGGAACUGCCUUUGAAACUAGGUAGCUAGAAUCUUGGAGAGGUCAGUGGAAUUCCGAGUGUAGAGGUGAAAUUCGUAGAUAUUCGGAAGAACACCAGUGGCGAAGGCGACUGACUGGACAAGUAUUGACGCUGAGGUGCGAAAGCGUGGGGAGCAAACAGGAUUAGAAACCCGUGUAGUCC